GGUGGAGCCAAUCCCAGCAAAGCCGGUCUCAGUUCGGAUUGCAGGCUGCAACUCGCCUGCAUGAAGUCGGAAUUGCUAGUAAUCGCGGAUCAGCAUGCCGCGGUGAAUACGUUCCCGGGUCUUGUACACACCGCCCGUCACACCACGAGAGUUUACAACACCCGAAGUCGGUGGGGUAACCCGCAAGGGGGCCAGCCGCCGAAGGUGGGGUAGAUGAUUGGGGUGAAGUCGUAACAAGGUAGCCGUAUCGGAAGGUGCGGCUGGAUCACCUCCUUUCUAUGGAGA
rnacentral:rRNA from 1 species